UUUAUCGGAGAGUUUGAUCCUGGCUCAGGACGAACGCUGGCGGCGUGCCUAAUACAUGCAAGUCGAGCGGACAGAUGGGAGCUUGCUCCCUGAUGUUAGCGGCGGACGGGUGAGUAACACGUGGGUAACCUGCCUGUAAGACUGGGAUAACUCCGGGAAACCGGGGCUAAUACCGGAUGCUUGUUUGAACCGCAUGGUUCAAACAUAAAAGGUGGCUUCGGCUACCACUUACAGAUGGACCCGCGGCGCAUUAGCUAGUUGGUGAGGUAAUGGCUCACCAAGGCAACGAUGCGUAGCCGACCUGAGAGGGUGAUCGGCCACACUGGGACUGAGACACGGCCCAGACUCCUACGGGAGGCAGCAGUAGGGAAUCUUCCGCAAUGGACGAAAGUCUGACGGAGCAACGCCGCGUGAGUGAUGAAGGUUUUCGGAUCGUAAAGCUCUGUUGUUAGGGAAGAACAAGUGCCGUUCAAAUAGGGCG
rnacentral:rRNA from 1 species